CAGGCGUCAGGCCAGACACUGGGAGUUUAUCCUGAGAGCCUGGCCGCACGCUGACAAGGGGUGAUUGGGGACCCAUUUAAAGCUCUAAAAGAUGCUAUUUGCCUUGAGCACUGCAUGGCUCAAAGGCCAAGGUCAAACUAAGUCUCCCUUAUCCUCUGCUUCCUGCCCAUGGCCUAAAGAUUCUUUCAAAGCCUUCUUGACUAAAGCUGUCCCAAACGAGCUGGACAUUUUGCGUAGGUGGGGACCUGAGGAGAAUUGUCCCAAGGGUGGCUCUCAUUGAAGGCCACUGAGCUCUCUGCUUGACACUCAUGGAUCCAUCAGAUGUCAAGGGCACUGCUGAGCCCAUUUUUACAGAGGAGAAAGCAGAGGAUAGAGAACGUUGGUGUUCGUAGUCUCACAGCUAAAAUGUACAACAGCUGGCAGUCAACCUCAAGCAUGUCUGAACGAGAAGAUGCAGUCCAUGGGCCCACACUCAACAAGAACACAGACCAUCAUGGUGCCAGCACUGAACCUGAAGCUGCCGAGCUAGAUGCCGUUUUUCAGUACUUACUGCCCUGCAUAUCAUUUUCUGGCAUAGAGAGCUAUUCCACAUUACAGCUAAUAAAAUGUUCCUGCACGGCUCUUCUUAAGGACCCUCUUUAAUUGAUGAGAACUACAGAGUCCAGUCCACACUGACUGGACCCUCAGCACUCAGUUGUCAAUUGGCCCGACCUGGAAUGGGCUCAACUUGCUGUGUGGCCUUCAGGAAACUGAGCAACAUCUCUGUGCUAUUUCCUCAUUUGUGCUAACUCAUUCCUGAGGCUUUCUGUUUCUGCUGCUGCUGCUGCUGCUGCUUCAAUUUGACACUGACCUUGACCAAAUCAUAAAUGCCCAGUUAAUGGGACAAAAAUGAGUUGGAAUCUAGGAUUCUGGUCAUUAACCCCAUGUCACCAUCUGCUGGAGCAGGAUGAGGGCAGAGCCGGGGGAUUGGAGAUCACCCAGUAUUUGUCAGACAUGCAGACUCCUGCUCGCUUUCUUCCCCUUCCUAUGUCACCCCCUCCCCCAGGCUCAGUCUGUAGGGAUGGGGCUCUGUGUGACUGACUGCCUUUGGUGGUGGUGGAAGGCAGCUCAAGACCUCACCCAGGACCAGUCACGUGGGGCCUGACCAGAAGCUCCUCCUGCUCCCCAGCCCUGCCAAGCUGCUCUGGUAGAGUUUCAUGCCGUUUCCCUCUGCCUGGAAAAGAGCCCCAGCACCAUAGCUCCUCUAUGUCACCUCUUGAGAGAGGCCUUGGCUGGCUGCUCCACCUCCAUCUGCACCUCUACUCCCCCCCACCCCCAGCUGCCCCACCGCAUGCUUCCCCUCUCCUCAUGUUUGGUAAAUUGUCUUGUCUCUUUGUAAAGUAUCUGUUGCUCCUACUAGAAUAUAAGUCCCUGUAUCCAUCUCUACUCAGGGGCAGGCACCCUGCCUGGGUGGUUGGAGGCUGUGUGCCUUGCCAGAGGUUUGAGGAGAAUUCAUGAGUCAUCUCUGGUUCCUAAGGUUGCAGUAAUGGGGACUCUCUGCCAUCCCUGGAGAUCUGGGGCCCUGCCUUAAGGAAGAUAGGGGUUCCUCCACUCCUUAUCCUGUUCCUUACUGCUCCAACCCAGAGACUCAGCUGCCAUCGUUUUACCAGAAAGCCCUGCUGUCAAGGAUGCAGACCAGGUAUCUCUCGCUUCCUAAUCUGUAUGAACAUGGGUACAGGUGAGAGCUGGGACUAAGGAGCUAGAGCUGUGUGUCUGCCCCAUUAGGAGGCAAUUUCACCCUCUCUCCACCCAGCACUUGUGACUGGGCAGCCAUGGAUUCUCUACUACCCUCUACACAGGAUGCUAAUAGCAAAAAGAAAUGAUAUAAACAGUAGGCAUUCAAUAAAUGCUGGCUGGUGUGAUGUGAGCAAUGCAAUUCACAACACUAAACUACUUUACCUUUGAUCCAUUUUUCAAUAACAAAAAGUUUAUAAUGAGUCCUUGCCUUGUAGUAUGGAAUUAGUUGCCUUUAACUUUGAUUUUGUUUACUUUAAUGAGACAUACCUCCCUUUAGUCUCUGAGUCACAUGGGUGAAUCCCUCCCCACUGGACCAAAGAAAGGCUUCUAAACCAUGUCUGUCCACAGCCACUUUGAUCCUGAGAGUCCUUUAAUCUAGCGCAUGUGUUUAAAGAUACCACAUGAACAUCCUCACUUACCUAAACAAAGUGAGCCCCAGGGGGAGGAGGGUACCCAACCCAGGAGGCCCUGGAUUCUGAUUUGAUGUCAAGUCAUUGCCCAGCACCCAGGGAGCGAGAGUCCAGCCCACCCUCCGUCCUGUCCUCACUGUGACGUGUCUCAAAGCAUCAUUCUUUCAUACUGUCUGUGCGCAUCCUCCUUUUCUAGUCUGCCUCCAGCCCUCUCUCCCCUGAGAAGGAAGUAGAAGAAAGAUACCAUUGGUGUUUGUUUUCUCUCAGCCACUCAGUCCCUGGAGCCGACUGUUUCACAACCAAGGGGAAAAGCACAGAGAGGCUUGAAGUCCAUAGGCCACAGUCGGCUUUCAACAAAAACUUUAUUAGUACCACCUUGGUCAUAGGUGAGCUGGAUUGGGGGGGGCUGGAGCCCGCCUGCUGGCUCUGAGUGGAGCUGCCUCUCCCUCUUGUGUUCUACGUGUGGGUUGCAGCCUGAGCUUCCACAGCGGCUGCAUCCUGCAGCCCUCUGAGCACUUCCCCAGCCUUUUUUCACCCAUACUGUGCCCCCCGUUCAUCCAUCUGCUUUUUAAAAAAGUGCCCAGGUGUGCCCCCGUUUGAGUUCACUUGCAUUUGAUGUCUGUUCUGUAUCUUUUCUACAAGCAAUUGUGUAUUUGUUUGAAUUCAUUUAUUCUCUAGGUCUCUUAAAGCACCAAUGAAACCAACACACAGCAUUGGGAAUGAAAAACGAAAUCUCAACCCUGUGAUCCCAACACAUUGAAAUGGGAAUUAAAAAAGACAUCAGGAUUGAGAGACAGAAAGGAGAACUAAAUCUGUGUCCACCUUUGUACAUCAACACAACUUACAUUCCAAAUUCAUAAUGCAGUAACAUGUAGAUGCGACACAGGGCCAUGACAUCUGUACACCACAGACAC